GUGGAUUGGAUACCCGGGUAGUCCACGCCCUAAACGAUGAUGACUAGUUGUUGGAGGAGUUAAAUCCUUUAGUAACGCAGCUAACGCGUGAAGUCAUCCGCCUGGGGAGUACGGUCGCAAGAUUAAAACUCAAAGGAAUUGACGGGGGCCCGCACAAGCGGUGGAUGAUGUGGUUUAAUUCGAUGCAACGCGAAAAACCUUACCUACCCUUGACAUGCUAGGAAUCCUGCAGAGAUGCAGGAGUGCCCGAAAGGGAACCUAGACACAGGUGCUGCACGGCCGUCGCCAGCU
rnacentral:rRNA from 1 species